UUAAGCGAAUAAGCGUACACGGUGGAUGCCCUGGCAGUCAGAGGCGAUGAAGGACGUGCUAAUCUGCGAAAAGCGUCGGUAAGGUGAUAUGAACCGUUAUAGCCGACGAUAUCCGAAUGGGGAAACCCAGUGUGUUUCGACACACUAUCGUUAACUGAAUACAUAGGUUAACGAGGCGAACCGAGGGAACUGAAACAUCUAAGUACCUCGAGGAAAAGAAAUCAACCGAGAUUCCCCUAGUAGCGGCGAGCGAACGGGGAGGAGCCCAGAGUCUGCAUCAGUCAGUGUGUUAAUGGAACGGUCUGGAAAGUCCGGCGAUACAGGGUGAUAGCCCCGUACAUGAAAAUGCACUGAUUGUGAGCUCGAAGAGUAGGGCGGGACACGUGGUAUCCUGUCUGAAUAUGGGGGGACCAUCCUCCAAGGCUAAAUACUCCUGACUGACCGAUAGUGAACCAGUACCGUGAGGGAAAGGCGAAAAGAACCCCGGCGAGGGGAGUGAAAUAGAACCUGAAACCGUGUACGUACAAGCAGUGGGAGCACGCCUUGAGCGUCACUAUGUGUUGUUGGGUAGGGGAGCGUUCUGUAAGCCGUUGAAGGUGGACUGUGAGGUCUGCUGGAGGUAUCAGAAGUGCGAAUGCUGACAUAAGUAACGAUAAAGCGGGUGAAAAACCCGCUCGCCGGAAGAUCAAGGGUUCCUGUCCAACGUUAAUCGGGGCAGGGUGAGUCGACCCCUAAGGCGAGGCUGAAAAGCGUAGUCGAUGGGAAACAGGUUAAUAUUCCUGUACUUGGUGUUACUGCGAAGGGGGGACGGAGAAGGCUAGGUUAUCCGGGCGACGGUUGUCCCGGUUUAAGCGAGUAGGCUGAUAGUUUUGGUAAAUCCGGAUUAUCUUAAGGCUGAGACGUGAUGACGAGGUUCUACGGAACUGAAGUAAUUGAUGCCAUGCUUCCAGGAAAAGCCUCUAAGCUCUAGGUAACAUUGAAUCGUACCCCAAACCGACACAGGUGAUCAGGUAGAGAAUACCAAGGCGCUUGAGAGAACUCGGGUGAAGGAACUAGGCAAAAUGGUGCCGUAACUUCGGGAGAAGGCACGCUGGCGCGUAGGUGAAGCGACAAGCUCGCGGAGCUGAAGCCAGUCGAAGAUACCAGCUGGCUGCAACUGUUUAUUAAAAACACAGCACUGUGCAAACACGAAAGUGGACGUAUACGGUGUGACGCCUGCCCGGUGCUGGAAGGUUAAUUGAUGGGGUUAUCCUUAGGGAGAAGCUCUUGAUCGAAGCCCCAGUAAACGGCGGCCGUAACUAUAACGGUCCUAAGGUAGCGAAAUUCCUUGUCGGGUAAGUUCCGACCUGCACGAAUGGCGUAAUGAUGGCCAGGCUGUCUCCACCCGAGACUCAGUGAAAUUGAAAUCGCUGUGAAGAUGCAGUGUACCCGCGGCAAGACGGAAAGACCCCGUGAACCUUUACUAUAGCUUGACACUGAACAUUGAGCCUUGAUGUGUAGGAUAGGUGGGAGGCUUUGAAGUGUGGACGCUAGUCUGCAUGGAGCCAACCUUGAAAUACCACCCUUUAAUGUUUGAUGUUCUAACGUAGACCCGUAAUCCGGGUUGCGGACAGUGUCUGGUGGGUAGUUUGACUGGGGCGGUCUCCUCCCAAAGAGUAACGGAGGAGCACGAAGGUUAGCUAAUCACGGUCGGACAUCGUGAGGUUAGUGCAAAGGCAUAAGCUAGCUUGACUGCGAGAGUGACAGUUCGAGCAGGUGCGAAAGCAGGUCUUAGUGAUCCGGUGGUUCUGAAUGGAAGGGCCAUCGCUCAACGGAUAAAAGGUACUCCGGGGAUAACAGGCUGAUACCGCCCAAGAGUUCAUAUCGACGGCGGUGUUUGGCACCUCGAUGUCGGCUCAUCACAUCCUGGGGCUGAAGUAGGUCCCAAGGGUACGGCUGUUCGCCGUUUAAAGUGGUACGCGAGCUGGGUUUAGAACGUCGUGAGACAGUUCGGUCCCUAUCUGCCGUGGGCGUUGGAGAAUUGAGGGGGGUUGCUCCUAGUACGAGAGGACCGGAGUGAACGCACCACUGGUGUUCGGGUUGUCAUGCCAAUGGCAUUGCCCGGUAGCUAAGUGCGGAAAAGAUAAGUGCUGAAAGCAUCUAAGCACGAAACUUGCCCCAAGAUGAGUUCUCCCUGACUCCUUGAGAGUCCUGAAGGGACGUUGAAGACUACGACGUUGAUAGGCUGGGUGUGUAAGUGCAGCGAUGCAUUGAGCUAACCAGUACUAAUGACCCGUGAGGCUUAACC
rnacentral:rRNA from 1 species